rnacentral:rRNA from 1 species
GACGAACGCUGGCGGCGUGCUUAACACAUGCAAGUCGAACGGAAAGGCCCUGCUUGCAGGGUACUCGAGUGGCGAACGGGUGAGUAACACGUGGGUGUUCUGCCCUGCACUUCGGGAUAAGCCUGGGAAACUGGGUCUCAUACCGGAUAGGAGCCAUUUUUAGUGUGAUGGUUGGAAAGUUUUUUGGGUGUGGGAUGAGCUCGCGGCCUCUCAGCUUGUUGGUGGGGGAAUGGCCUACCAAGGCGGCGACGGGUAGCCGGCCUGGGAGGGUGGACGGCCACAUUGGGGCUGGGAUACGGCCCAGACUCCUACGGGAGGCAGCAGUGGGGAAUAUUGCACAAUGGGCGCAAGCCUGAUGCAGCGACGCCGCGGGGGGGAUGACGGCCUUCGGGUUGGAAACUCCUUUCGCUAGGGACGAAGCUUUUUGUGACGGUACCUAGAUAAGAAGCACCGGCUAACUACGUG